CAAUAGCAUAUAUUAAAGUUGUUGCAGUUAAAAAGCUCGUAGUUGGAUUUUAAGGAUUAAUGAAUUGCACCGAUUUUUUUAAAAUCGUGAUUGUGAUUUGUUUUCUUUAAAAUUUUGUCAGAUAUUCAUUGUUGUAUUUUGUUAUAUGAUGAUUUCGAUUCUUUUCGGAGGAUCGGUUGUUUGUUGGAUCUAUUUUAUGAAGAUUGUGGAUUAAAUUCAGCAAUGGAUUUGGUUCUGCUUUAUAAAAUAACCGAUAAAUAGAAUUCUGAUUCAUUUACUUUGAGUAAAUUAGAGUGUUCAAAGCAAGCUUAAAAUUAUUUAAGCAAUGAAUACUAUUAGCAUGGGAUAAUGGAACAAGACAUUGGGUCUAUUUUAUUGGUUUUUAGUAACUAAUGUAAUGAUU
rnacentral:rRNA from 1 species